CCUACGGGUGGCAGCAGUGAGGAAUAUUGGUCAAUGGACGAGAGUCUGAACCAGCCAAGUAGCGUGAAGGAUGACUGCCCUAUGGGUUGUAAACUUCUUUUAUAUGGGAGUAAAAUGUUCCACGUGUGGGAUUUUGUAUGUACCAUAUGAAUAAGGAUCGGCUAACUCCGUGCCAGCAGCCGCGGUAAUACGGAGGAUCCGAGCGUUAUCCGGAUUUAUUGGGUUUAAAGUGAGCGUAGGUGGAUUGUUAAGUUAGUUGUGAAAGUUUGCGGCUCAACCGUAAAAUUGCAGUUGAAACUGGCAGUCUUGAGUACAGUAGAGGUGGGCGGAAUUCGUGGUGUAGCGGUGAAAUGCUUAGAUAUCACGAAGAACUCCGAUUGCGAAGGCAGUUCACUGGACUGCAACUGACACUGAGGCUCGAAAGUGUGGGUAUCAAACAGGAUUAGAUACCCUUGUAGUC
rnacentral:rRNA from 1 species